UAAAAUAUAGGGACUAAAUAGUUAAUUCCAUUAAAAUACAAAGACUAAAUAGUAAUUUUUCCUUCUAAAUAAAAUAAAACAUCCAUAUUUAUGCACGAUUAGUUUCUUUAUUUCCUAGCCAGCUUGAUAGUAUUUAUCAUGUGUAUAUUGUAAUACCUCAAUCCCAAGCUCUCGUAGAAUCCAAAAUUUUCUUUGCAAAAUUACUAGCAAGCGAGGUUAAGCAUAAGUCUCACAAGCAUAGGAGUAAGAUAGAUGUUGCAUGGGGCAAGCAAAGCAAAUGGCUAGCAUGGUUGAGCAUAAGAGCACCUACGGGCCAAUUGGGUGAGCAAUUACGACAGAAUCAGUUACAACUCUCCGAAAUGGCCUAGAAUAUGCCAACACCUAAGAGACUUGUGUGGAAAGUCCUAGAAUUGUCUAGCUUUCUCUCUACACCUUCAAGGUAGUUUCCAUGAAUAUGACUUUGAGUAGCCAUUAAGAAAUUGAAGCUUCUAGGAAGAGGCCUUUGAAUAGCCCGUAAAGAAUUGAAGCUUUUAAGAAGACGACUUUGAAUAGCCUCUAAGGAACUCUAGAAUUCCUCAUGCAAGUUGUCAUGAAAAUAUCUAGUUAAAGAGGUGCACAACUUCCGAAGAGGCUUCAUCCAAGCCAUCCAAACUAUGGAGAUGAAAGAGAUCGAAUCCUUGCCUUCCAUUUUGGAGGUGCAUUCUCCACCACAUGUUGAGGAGGAUGGGAGAAGCCUAUAAAUAGGGAUUUAGGUGUCUUCUGAUCUGGAGCUCGUGCAGACACUGACGAGGCCUCAGCUUCAGCUUUCAUGGGCUUCCCUUCUCCCAUAACACACUCUUUGAACUUAGCCACGAUAGCCCAGAAAAUAAUAUAACAAGAACAACAAUAGGAAAGUUCCUAGAAGCCAAUUGAAAAACAGGGAAACGAAGGAGAAGAAAGAAAGAAAGAAACAGUCGUAAGCGUCUGCAGAAAGUCUUGGUUGUGGUAGUUAGAAACGGAAGUUGGGAAUGGACAAAACAAGAUGUGGGCUCCUCAGGGGGCAAAAUCUACAGGCUAUAGCAGAAUACUUCCAUGCGUGAACGGGCUGGCUCUAUGAGGAAUAUUUUAUUUUUUUUGUUCUUUUAUUUCAUAGAACCAGCAGUUUCACCCAUGGAAAAUAUAAUUCUAAUUCCUCUAAAUAAUAAUGAUGAAGAUGAGAAGAAUUAAAGAGUGAUUUAGUUGUUU